GGAGGAAGAAGCCGAGGUGAGGAGAGCGGGCGCGUGCAUCUGAAGAGUCUGACGCUGCGCGGGUUCAAGUCCUUCGCCUCCGCCACCA
rnacentral:tRNA from 1 species